rnacentral:tRNA from 1 species
UCCGAAUUGGUGUAGUGGUCAACAUUUGACGCUCUCAACAACAUCAUCGUCAUCACCCCGAUGUGAUGUCGAAAGGUUCCGUCAAGCCCGGGGUUCGAUUCCCCGAUUCGGAG